rnacentral:rRNA from 1 species
CCGGCGACCGGCGCACGGGUGAGUAACACGUAUGAAACCUGCCCGUAGCAGGGGGAUAAGCGGAAGAAAUUCCGCCUAAUACCGCGUAACAACCCAUGGAGGCAUCUCUGUGGGUUUAAAGGAAGCGAUUCCGGCUACGGAUGGUCAUGCGUCGCAUUAGCUUGUUGGCGGGGUAACGGCCCACCAAGGCGACGAUGCGUAGGGGUUCUGAGAGGAAGGUCCCCCACACUGGUACUGAGACACGGACCAGACUCCUACGGGAGGCAGCAG